GCUAAGGCCGGGCAGAGGGCAGGUGGAGGCGCUCAGCGUCCAGUCUCGGCGCAACAGGCGGGGAGACGAGGCCUCCCGAAGGGCCCAGAGGGGCUGGCCUGCGCGAGAGCCUUCUUACAAAGCCUCCCUGCCCUGUCCGAACACGGAGCUCGUACGAAGGAAACAAGUCUCGGCCUGCCGCUGCACUGCCCUGCUUCGCCGGACCCUCCCGCCAGUCCCGUCGCAGCUCACCACCCACGCGGCCGGCGUCCGGGUCGGAGACGCGCAGCCAGCCGGGCCCCGGAAGUCCCAGUUCGUCGCGUUGCCCCGCCGCCCCGCCCACUCCGCGACUACGCGAGGUCUGGUCACGCCCUAGAGGCCCCGCCCAUGGCACCUCGCCCCGCCCCGGGAGGCCCCGCCUCCAGCUCACCCUCUUGGACCGUGAAGCCGUGGGGUCCUCGCAGAAGGCCUCGGACAGCAGGCUGGGCAUUUUGAGCAGGCUGCGCAGGUGGCGCGCGCUCUGGCUCUCGGCCACCACCACAGGCACCGGCGCCUCCUCAUCGCUGUCCUCGCUAGGCUCCUGGAUGCUGUAGCAGCGGAGCUCCUCGUCCGACUCCUCGCUGUCCUCGCUGUCCUCCUCUUCUUCCUCUGGCCGGCCCUCCGGGGCUGCGGGGAGUCCCGGCAGGGCCAGGCAGAGUGGGGUUCUGGGGGCGCCCGGGGCCCCUGUCCGUUCCUGCAGGGCUGACUGCAGUCCCUGGGGCUCCUGGAGCUCAGCGCCCUGGCUGUCUGAGCUCCGCGGGACGGGAGUCAGCAGGAAAACUUUCGGACGCCCAGGACUGGGCAUUGGUGACCCCUGAGCUGGGCUUUGGGCCCAGGGAGGCUCCCUCCUGAGGUCUGUGGGGCAGGUGGUUGGUCCAGGGCGAGAGUCCUCGGGCGGUGGUGAUGGGGACACCUCCCUGGGCUCUGGGCUCUGUGCCUCCCCAGGUGCCUCAGAUUCAGAAAGCGGCUGUGCAGGCUGCGGCCCGGGGCUCUGCGGGCUCUCCAGAUCUGGCCCUGGCCCAACAGCCCCACCCCUCUUCUCAGGGCCCAGCAGGGGCUCCGGCUCGGUGUCCAGGUCAGAGAAGUAGGCUGAGUCACGGUAGGGGUUUUUCUCACUGAGGCCACUGAGGGAGGCCGAGAGCUGAGUCUCUGCCCCGGGGCUCUCACCCUCCGAGGCCAGCCCCCCUAAAACCUCAGGCUCACAUGACUCGUGCGCUUCCUUGAGCACAAACUCAGGGGACUCGUAGUUCUCAGUGUCAUAGCCGCUGUCCAGGGCCCGGGGCUGCCCUCCGGAGGGGCCAAUAGUUGACGGGCUGAAGACCUCACAGCCACCAUCACUGGCCAGGGACGGGAUGUCCAGAGAGUCCAGGGAGUCCGGAGUUCCCACCUGCUUCUGUAGGCAGCGGAAUGCCGGCGUCACACUCCGCCUCUCCACCUGCGGGCUGUCGCUGGACACGUCAGUGAAAACGCCGGAAGUGGCCUCAAUGGUGUCCUCGUCCUCACUGCCUGGCACCUCCGGGGAGCUGCUGCCACUGUCCUGUGUUUGGGCUGGCUCCAUGGCAGCUGCCUGGCUGCUGGCAGGCAUGGGCGAAGCCAGCAAGGCGGUAGAGGUGCCGGUCUCCUGGGUGGGAAGCAGGGCUCCCUCUCGAGAUGGGGACGGGAUGGAUGCCAGGAGCCGCUGAGGUCCGGAGGAGCCCUCCACAAGCCUGCGCUCUGUCUCAGGGGUGUUGCCCUCACUACCAGCUGCGUCUCUCCAGGGGGGUGUGAAUAGGCUGCUGGAAGGUGGUGGGCCCUCAGCAGGAUGCAGGUGGGGGAGGUCAAGGCAGCGGCCCAACUCCUGGCCAAAGGAGGCCCCCUCUGAUCCAAGGGGAGGCUCUCUGGGGUCCUCUAGGGCCAAGGGGUGGCCCUGCUCAGGGACAGCCCGUAGGGGCUGCUUCCUGCCAGAGCAGCAGUCUGUGCCGCCCCCUGUGCAGCCUGCGCCCCACGCCUCAGGGGUCCGGCCGCCGCUGUUGUUGUUGGCUGACACGUUGGAGCCCCAGUGUCCGAGCUGCGUGGCCCUGCUGGCCUGGGCCUCCCCCAGCUCCUCCCUGCCGGCAGACCGAGGGGCCCCUGCAGUCCCAGAGACGUGUGUGCCCAGUGGGUCCUCAGAUAAGGGCGGGCAGAUGGUGGCCACGCCCCAGCCGCCAGCCUCAUCUCCAGGUUCCACUGGCAUCAGGCCCUUGGGCGAGGGGGCAUGCGAGGGGCGGGGCAGGUCCUGGGCGCUGCACCUGCUUGGGUAGUGGUCACAGUGGCCCCGGGGGCCAUCCACAGGUGGCGCCUGGCCCAGCAGCGGCUCCAUGGCCAGCGAGGUGGCAGCACUGCCGUCUAAGUCCUUGUCGUGGUCCUUGCCCUCGGAACUGGGGGCCACGGCACAGGGGUUAGGGGCACAGCCAGCGCAAUCGGGGUCGUGGCCCGCAGCAGGCGCCGGCUCCUCCAGGCGGAUGAAGUACUCGCUGCCCACAGAAGGGCUGUGCGCGCUGAGAACAGGCACCACCCCCGGCGGCGCGCUGUCGGGGGCGCAGAGCUCCUGCAGGCGCACCGCGCAGCCGGGGCUCGGCAUGUCUCCCGGCGGUGGGAAAGCGUCGCCGCAGUGGCCUGCCUCCCACUUGUACUCGAAGUUGAGGCCACGGCUCGUCUCAGUCACUGUGAGCACGUCGUCGCCAUCGGCGUGGAAGCUGUCGCCCGCGAACUGCUCCAGCAGGGGGAAGGACGAGGCGGCGGCCAGCUCGCCCGCGCCUCCCAGGGCCGCCCCCGACCCGGGGCCCGCGCCGCCCCCGCCUGGCCGCAGGGAGCGCCAGCGCUGCUCGAACUCGUCCUCCGCCACCGUGGCGUCCUUGGCACACAGGCAGUUAACGGAUUCCCCCGCUUAAACAAGAACACAGAUCUCGGCAGAGGCGGGCACAGCAGUUUGGGAGCCGACAAAGGGCCUGUCACCCCCACCCCCACCGCCAGCAGGUGAAUCUGUGCUUUGAGUGAGGAGUCUGUGGCCCUGAGGGUACAGUGUGGGACCCAGCAGUGGUUGGGAGUGGCUUCCUCUGUGGGCACUCCGGGCACCCGCUUGUCCUCCAUUUCCUGCCGAGGACACCCCAUCCCAGCCUGGCAUCACUGGGUCCUCACCA